GAGAGCUUGCUCUCGGGUGACGAGCGGCGGACGGGUGAGUAAUGUCUGGGAAACUGCCUGAUGGAGGGGGAUAACUACUGGAAACGGUAGCUAAUACCGCAUAACGUCGCAAGACCAAAGUGGGGGACCUUCGGGCCUCAUGCCAUCAGAUGUGCCCAGAUGGGAUUAGCUAGUAGGUGGGGUAACGGCUCACCUAGGCGACGAUCCCUAGCUGGUCUGAGAGGAUGACCAGCCACACUGGAACUGAGACACGGUCCAGACUCCUACGGGAGGCAGCAGUGGGGAAUAUUGCACAAUGGGCGCAAGCCUGAUGCAGCCAUGCCGCGUGUGUGAAGAAGGCCUUCGGGUUGUAAAGCACUUUCAGCGGGGAGGAAGGCGAUAAGGUUAAUAACCUUGUCGAUUGACGUUACCCGCAGAAGAAGCACCGGCUAACUCCGUGCCAGCAGCCGCGGUAAUACGGAGGGUGCAAGCGUUAAUCGGAAUUACUGGGCGUAAAGCGCACGCAGGCGGUCUGUCAAGUCGGAUGUGAAAUCCCCGGGCUCAACCUGGGAACUGCAUUCGAAACUGGCAGGCUAGAGUCUUGUAGAGGGGGGUAGAAUUCCCGGUGUAGCGGUGAAAUGCGUAGAGAUCUGGAGGAAUACCGGUGGCGAAGGGGGGCCCCCCUGGACAAAGACUGACGCUCAGGUGCGAAAGCGUGGGGAGCAAACAGGAUUAGAUACCCUGGUAGUCCACGCCGUAAACGAUGUCGAUUUGGAGGUUGUGCCCUUGAGGCGUGGCUUCCGGAGCUAACGCGUUAAAUCGACCGCCUGGGGAGUACGGCCGCAAGGUUAAAACUCAAAUGAAUUGACGGGGGCCCGCACAAGCGGUGGAGCAUGUGGUUUAAUUCGAUGCAACGCGAAGAACCUUACCUGGUCUUGACAUCCACAGAACUUAGCAGAGAUGCUUUGGUGCCUUCGGGAACUGUGAGACAGGUGCUGCAUGGCUGUCGUCAGCUCGUGUUGUGAAAUGUUGGGUUAAGUCCCGCAACGAGCGCAACCCUUAUCCUUUGUUGCCAGCGGUUCGGCCGGGAACUCAAAGGAGACUGCCAGUGAUAAACUGGAGGAAGGUGGGGAUGACGUCAAGUCAUCAUGGCCCUUACGACCAGGGCUACACACGUGCUACAAUGGCAUAUACAAAGAGAAGCGACCUCGCGAGAGCAAGCGGACCUCAUAAAGUAUGUCGUAGUCCGGAUUGGAGUCUGCAACUCGACUCCAUGAAGUCGGAAUCGCUAGUAAUCGUAGAUCAGAAUGCUACGGUGAAUACGUUCCCGGGCCUUGUACACACCGCCCGUCACACCAUGGGAGUGGGUUGCAAAAGAAGUAGGUAG
rnacentral:rRNA from 1 species